AGGCUAAAACUCAAAGGAAUUGACGGGGGCCCGCACAAGCGGCGGAGCAUGCGGAUUAAUUCGAUGCAACGCGAAGAACCUUACCAAGGCUUGACAUGAACCGGAAUGAUGCAGAGAUGUGUCAGCCACUUGUGGCCGGUUUACAGGUGGUGCAUGGUUGUCGUCAGCUCGUGUCGUGAGAUGUUGGGUUAAGUCCCGCAACGAGCGCAACCCUCGUUCCAUGUUGCCAGCGGGUUAUGCCGGGGACUCAUGGGAGACUGCCGGGGUCAACUCGGAGGAAGGUGGGGACGACGUCAAAUCAUCAUGCCCCUUAUGUCUUGGGCUUCACGCGUGCUACAAUGGCCGGUACAAAGGGUUGCGAUGCUGUGAGGUGGAGCUAAUCCCAAAAAGCCGGUCUCAGUUCGGAUUGAGGUCUGCAACUCGACCUCAUGAAGUUGGAGUCGCUAGUAAUCGCAGAUCAG
rnacentral:rRNA from 1 species